rnacentral:rRNA from 1 species
CAAUAGCGUAUAUUAAAGUUGUUGCAGUUAAAAAGCUCGUAGUUGGAUUUGUGGCGUACGGUGUGUUCCGGGCACUUGUUGUCUGAGUAACCUGCUGUUGCCAUCCUUGGGUGGAACCUGUGUGGCAUUAGGUUGUCGUGCAGGGGAUGCCCAUCAUUUACUGUGAAAAAAUUAGAGUGUUCAAAGCAGGCUUAUGCCGUUGAAUAUAUUAGCAUGGAAUAAUGAGAUAGGACUUUCUUGCUAUUUUGUUGGUUUGCGCAAAGAGGUAAUGAUUAAUAGGGACAGUUGGGGGUAUUCGUAUUCCAUUGUCUGAGGUGAAAUUCUUGGAUUUUUGGAAGACGAACUACUGCGAAAGCAUUUACCAAGGAUGCUUUCAUUAA